rnacentral:rRNA from 1 species
AGUGAACGCUGGCGGUAGGCCUAACACAUGCAAGUCGAACGGCAGCACAGGAGAGCUUGCUCUCUGGGUGGCGAGUGGCGGACGGGUGAGGAAUACAUCGGAAUCUACUUUUUCGUGGGGGAUAACGUAGGGAAACCUACGCUAAUACCGCAUACGACCUACGGGUGAAAGCAGGGGACCUUCGGGCCUUGCGCGAUUGAAUGAGCCGAUGUCGGAUUAGCUAGUUGGCGGGGUAAAGGCCCACUAAGGCGACGAUCCGUAGCUGGUCUGAGAGGAUGAUCAGCCACACUGGAACUGAGACACGGUCCAGACUCCUACGGGGGGCAGCAGUGGGGAAUAUUGGACAAUGGGCGCAAGCCUGAUCCAGCCAUACCGCGUGGGUGAAGAAGGCCUUCGGGUUGUAAAGCCCUUUUGUUGGGAAAGAAAUCCAGCUGGCUAAUACCCGGUUGGGAUGACGGUACCCAAUGAAUAAGCACCGGCUAACUACGUGCCAGCCGCCGCCGUAA